CCUACGGGUGACAGCAGUAGGGAAUAUUGGUCAAUGGAGGAAACUCUGACGCAGCAACGCCGCGUGAAUGAUGAAGGUUUUCGGAUUGUAAACUCCUUUUGUUAGAGAUGAUCACGACGGUAUUAAACGAAUAGGCACCGGCUAACUCCGUGCCAGCAGCCGCGGCAAUACUGAGGGGGCAAGCGUUACUCGGAGUCACUGGGCGUAAAGAGCGCGGAGGCGGGAUAGCAAGUCAGAUGUGAAAUCCUAUGGCUUAACCACAGAACUGCAUUUGAAACUGUUAUUCUAGAGUAUGGGAGAGGUAGGUGGAAUUCUUGGUGUAGGGGUAAAAUCCGUAGAGAUCAAGAGGAAUACUCAUUGCGAAGGCGACCUGCUAGAACAUAACUGACGCUGAGGCGCGAAAGCGUGGGGAGCAAACAGGAUUAGAUACCCUGGUAGUC
rnacentral:rRNA from 1 species